rnacentral:lncRNA from 1 species
AAAUAAAAGGAACACACACAAUAAACACAACAUUCAAUACAAAAACCAUGCCAUGAUGCACAUGCUAUGCUGAUGCACACAAAGGUUACUUCUAACGUACAAAGUUUUGUUUCUGUUUUGAAAGGCUCUCAAAAGAUUUGGACAGAUUAUACAACAUCAAAGUGGUAAUUAAUAUGCAAGAAACAUGGAUAGGGUUUAAAACAAAAGAUUGUGCGGCUUUUGUAACAUAGAGCAAUAUUUAAAUUGCAUACCAUGAUUAUACACAAAAUAAUUUCUUUUCUGGUCCUAAUGGAUAGAGAACAAGUUUAAAUAAUUUUACCGCAAGAUAACAUGUUCAAAACUAUUUUGAAACCAUUCAUUCGAAAUUUAAACCAUAAACCACCAUUCUGUAAAUAGCUACUGUCUAAGUUAUUCAAAACUGAAAAUAAACAGUGCCAAAAUAUUCUACACGUUGCGACGAUUCCAGAAAGGUGUGGAUCGUAAAUUUUGGACAAACGGUUUAAAAGAUAUAAAGGUUUGAAGUUAUAGGGUCUUUUCUGCAAAAGUGUAUUAUCCACUUCGGCCGAAAAAAAUAAAAUAAAACAAAACAAAAACUUGCCACGUGGCGAAACCUGACUGGCCCGGUUCUAGGGUUCCGGCCGGCGGGCGAGCUCGCCGGCGGCGGCGCGGGAAGGCGGCGCGGGGCGGAGCGCGGGC